UCCCACCCACAAUGGAGGAGGUUUCCCUGAAAAGAGGAGGAUUGGUCUUUGGUCAAGGGUAUACAAGUAGCUGUGUUCCCCUGUUAAAACCUCCAAACAAGUUCAAGGACCCAGGUAUAUUGGC
rnacentral:sRNA from 1 species